rnacentral:rRNA from 1 species
UACAGAGGUCUCAAGCGUUGUUCGGAUUCAUUGGGCGUAAAGGGUGCGUAGGCGGCGCGGUAAGUCGGGUGUGAAAUCUCGGAGCUUAACUCCGAAACUGCAUUCGAUACUGCGGUGCUUGAGGACUGGAGAGGAGACUGGAAUUCAUGGUGUAGCAGUGAAAUGCGUAGAGAUCAGGAGGAACACCAGCGGCGAAGGCGGCGCUCUGGGCCGGAACUGACGCUGAGGAGCGAAAGCGUGGGUAGCAAACAGG